rnacentral:sRNA from 1 species
GUCAUUUGUAAGAGUGAGUAUAACAACUAGAACCAAACCAGAUCUUAAAAGCCUAAGUAUUGAAUCUUUGUUAGAAGAUACAAAGACAAAGACUCAUACAGACUUCCACUACACCAAUAAAGCUUUGAGAAGCAAGAAGAAGCUUGGUUAGUGUUUUGAAGUAGAAUAUGACUUUAUGUCAUGUGGAUGAUUGAGUAUAAGAACUUAAACCGCAACCGGAUCUUAAAAGCCUAAGUAUUGUAUCCUUGUUAGAAGAUACAAAGACAAAGACUCAUACGGACUUCCACUACACCAUCAAAGCUUUGAAAAUCAAGAAGAAGCUUGGUUAGUGUUUUGGGGUCGAAUAUGACUUGAUGUGAUGUGUAUGAUUGAGUAUAAAAACUUAAACCGCAACCGGAUCUUAAAAGCCUAAGUAGUGUUUCCUUGUUCGAAGAUACAAAGCCAAAGCCUCAUACGUACUUUAGCUACACCAUCAAAGCUUUGAGAAGCAAGAAGAAGCUUGGUUAGUGUUUUGGAGUCAAAUGUUACUAGAUG